UGGCCGUCAGGGGUCACUGCCUUGCAAUGAAAGAAAACACAUGCAAAUAGAAAAAACACCAGCAAAUCAAGAAAACAUCUUCAUCAGUUUGACAACACAUGCGCUGCAGAUAUCGCAACACAUCCAAAUACAGAAACGCGUUGCAAAUUCUUACAACACGACCAAAAACAGAAACGCGUUCCAAAUCUCACAACACAACGGAAGUGUUUCAGGGGGGUCACAAAAAGUGAUGCACCGGUCUGAGAAGUGUUUUCGGUUUACAUUCAAUUCGUCCGUGGAGCUUUUGUGAGUUUACAUCGAUCAAAUGAAAGCUAAAGGACCUGCUAUUACAUUGAGAGCAUCCUGAGCAGAUGCAGUGUGAUAUGGUAGCAUGAUAAAAAAAUUAACUGCAAGAGCCUGUAGAGAGGGAUAAAGUCAACUGAGAGGAACACCACUGCCUUCCUUUUCACAUUUGACAAACUAACGCACCACAAUUAACCAGAGUUUUGUUAGGUAUAGGUAGCUUUAAAUUUGAGCUUGGGGCUUGUGUCAGACUGGUCUAUCAUUGUAUCUAUUCCAGAGCAAGAUUUCUACUGCAAACUAAAUAAAAAUUAAAUUGCAUUAAAAAAAACAUUUGUUUACUAGCUUAAAACAACAUAACAUAUAACAAAUAACACGUUUUCUAAUUGUAACACAAUUUUAAGUUAAAGUUAAGCAUCAGGGCCAUAAUUUGUAUUUUUCAUUAGUAACAGCUUAUGUUUUGUAGCUCAACUUCUGACAGUUUUAGAUGCUGGUAGGUGAUAAUCUGGUCAUACAGAUUUACAAUGUUAAUGUUAAUCUGAGAAUGGUGAUUAUUUGUAAUUAUUUCUCUUGAUUCUUUGUAGACCACUGCAUUGUAUUUCAUAUCAUAUCAGCUGCAUAUGAAGAUGCAUAAAUUGGAUUGACAUUAAACAUCUUGUUCAAA